rnacentral:misc_RNA from 1 species
CUGCAAGAAACAAACCGUAAGGAAGAAUAAGACAAAUUGUUGUAUAUCAAAUCCAAGAAUAAUUAUGGCAUAUACUUUUCUCCAGCCAUGGAUGAAUAUUUGUUAAAUUAUAAUCUAUUGUGAAGUUAAAAUAGUAUUUCUGAGGUCAACAUGGAAACUGAGACCACAACCAGGGAGCCAAUGAAUUUCAUUUCCAUUCUCAAAUUAAAAAAUAAUUUCAGUCAAUAACAAAAUUAUUAAUUUACUUUGCUGCUAUUCAUAUAACACUUUAAACUUAUUCUAUAUUGUUUUUAUUCUGUCAAUCCCAAGUUCCCAAAAGGAAAUACAAAUAGUGCAAUGUAACUUAAUUACAAUGCAACAUCAGUAAAACAACACUGGGAAAAUCGAGAACACAAAAGGUUGAUAUUUACUUUCUCUGGCGUAACUUCUUUAUUCAACUCCUUGGGUGCAUAAGAAGAGC